rnacentral:misc_RNA from 1 species
UUUCCGUAGGUGAACCUGCGGAAGGAUCAUUCAUAAUAAAGUGUUUUAUGGCACUUUUUAAAAAUCCAUAUCCAACUUUUGUGGAAUGGUUGAUCUCGUCCAUCUUGGCGGGAUUUUUUUACAUCAACCCAUUCUUUAACUAAUUUGUCUGAAAAAUAUUAUGAAUACUUAAUUCAAAAUACAACUUUCAACAACGGAUCUCUUGGCUCUC